GACAGAGCGAGACUCCGUCUCAAAAGAAAAAAAAAAGUCUCCAAAUCACAGGUAAACACAUAGAUACACACAAUUAGACAGAUGUACAACAUCAAAUCACAGGUAAACACAUAGAUACAAUUAGAUGUAUGACAUCAAUCACGUAAACACACAGAUACACACAAUUAGACAGAUGUAUGACAUCAAAUCACAGGUAAACACAUAGAUACACACAAUUAGAUGUAUGACAUCAAAUCACAGGUAAACACAUAGAUAACACACAGAUGUACAACAUCACAGGUAAACACAGAUACACACAAUUAGAUGUAUGACAUCAAAUCACAGGGAAACACAUAGAUACAAUUAGACAGAUGUACGACAUCAAAUCGCAGGUAAACACAUAGAUACACACAAUUAGACAGAUGUACGACAUCAAAUCGCAGGUAAACACAUAGAUACACACAAUUAGACAGAUGUAUGACAUCAAAUCGCAGGUAAACACAUAGAUACACACAAUUAGACAGAUGUACGACAUCAAAUCACAGGUAAACACAUAGAUACACACAAUUAGAUGUACGACAUCAAAUCACAGGUAAACACACAGAUACACACAAUCAGACAGAUGUACGACAUCAAAUCACAGGGAAACACACAGAUACACACAAUUAGAUGUAUGACAUCAAAUCACAGGUAAACACAUAGAUACAAUUAGACAUGUAUGACAUCAAAUCACAGGUAAACACAUAGAUACAAUUAGACAGACACAUGCAGGAGACAGGUUGUUUUAAUUAUCUGAAAGAAGAUCGUAAUACAAAAUGUUUGACUCAAGUAUUUAUCAUGCUUAAAAUGACUAAGAUCAAAAUAUGCUAAAAAGUUGUGUAAUUUCGAGUCCCAGGAGGCUUCAGCUGCUUGACUUCUCAAGAAAACGCCUGUCUUGUGCUCUGUGAGUUUUUCAUUUUCCCACAAAACUGCUGUGACUGGGACUUCUGGGGUGAGGGCAGACAGGCUGGGCUCCUGCUUGCAGAGGCUGGACGUCCAAACCCUUCCCCUAAUGCAGAGAUGACUCAGAACAACUGACAUGAAGGCAGAGUGAGGCCAGGACACAGUCAGGCCAAACGCCCCCAAUCCACGCCAGGGGAGACUGUGCCCAGGGCUGCGGCACACACGGCCUGAAGCCGGCUGCAGGGAGUGGGCUUGGCCAGCCGCUGGCUACAGCGGGAACUGUCCAGCCUGUGGCCAGGGAGCAGCUGAGGGAGGCAGGAUGGCAGGAAGUGGCCGGGCAGCUCAGGCCACCUGCCACAGGUGGUCGUGGAAAGAGAGUCCCUCAAACUGAGCUUGCAAACUGAAGUCGUAAACUAACCUGAGAAAGGCAAGUACAAAUAACAGGAAUCUCAAAAUAAACAAGCUGGAGAUCUUAAAAGAGAUGAAAGAAGUCCUGACUGUCACACAGUCCCUGGUCUGACUGAGCGGCCAGGCAGGAGGAACACCCGUGCUGAGAGGCCACCCCACAGGAUCUGGGCUUGUGUUACCCACAAGUUCAAGGAGCAGAGGAUGACUGUCCGCUCGGCAAAUGCUCACUGGCACUGCUGUGUCUGCAGCAGGCUGGGCAUGGCUGGGGCUCUGGGACUCUGGGACUGCAAGGUCCAGUGUGAUGGGUUCUGAAGCCGGCACCGCAGAGCCACCCGACACCAGCCUCCUGGGUGUUGGGACUGGCGCUAGACCUGGGAAUCACUCAGCACCGGCCCGGCACACAGCAGAUGCUCCGUGAACUCAGCCUCGCUCCCAGGGACACGCCCCCCACACCCACCGUGCUUGCCUGAGCCAGGAGCCCCACGCCCAGGCCCCGCCCGCGCC
rnacentral:lncRNA from 1 species